AAAUUUUUAAUUUAAGUCUAAAAUAUUUCAUUUACAAUGAAAUUAUAAUAAUUUUUAUUAAAAUUUA
rnacentral:tRNA from 1 species